CCUGGUUGAUCCUGCCAGUAGUCAUAUGCUUGUCUCAAAGAUUAAGCCAUGCAUGUCUAAGUAUAAGCGUUUAUACAGUGAAACUGCGAAUGGCUCAUUAUAUCAGUUAUCAUUUACUUGAUGAUACCUUACCACUCGGAUAACCGUGGUAAUUCUAGAGCUAAUACGUGCCUUAAGGGCCACCUUUUUGGUGGUCUGCAUUUAUUAGAUACAAACCAAUGCCAGCAAUGGCUCCUGGUGAUUCAUAAUAACUUGGCGGAUCGCAUGACCUUGCGUCGGCGACGUAUCAAUCAAAUUUCUGCCCUAUCAAGUUUCGAAGGUAGGAUAGAGGCCUACCUUGCUUACAACGGGUAACGGGGAAUUUGGGUUCGAUUCCGGAGAGGGAGCCUGAGAAAUGGCUACCACAUCCAAGGAUGGCAGCAGGCGCGCAAAUUACCCAAUCUCGACACGAGGAGGUAGUGACAAAAAAUAACGAUGUGAAGCCUUUAUGGUGUCACAAUCGCAAUGAAGCGAAUCUAAAUCACUUCAUGAGUAACAAUUGGAGGGCAAGUCUGGUGCCAGCAGCCGCGGUAAUUCCAGCUCCAAUAGCGUAUACUAAAGUUGUUGCAGUUAAAAAGCUCGUAGUUGACUCUCGGACAAGGGCAGCUGGUCCGGCCUCUGGUCGGCACUAGUUGGACCGAGUCUUACGUCUUGGGGAGGGUCGGUGCUCUUUAUUGAGUGCCGGCCACCAGAACCAAGAAGAUUACUUUGAGAAAAGUAGAGUGUUCAAAGCAGGCAAUUGCUUGAAUACCUUAGCAUGGAAUAAUAAAAUAGACCUUGGUUCUAUUUUAUU
rnacentral:rRNA from 1 species